AAGAGAGAGAGAGAGAGAGAGAAAGAGAGAGAGAGAGAGAGAGAGAGACCCUGUCUCAAAAAUAAAUAAUAAAAUCUGAAUCUGUCAUUUUCUUGUACUUUAUACUGGUCAGGUUACUUAAUCUUCUGAGCUUUAAUGGCCUCAUUACUAAUGUGGAGAUAAUAAUCCAUACAAAGGAGGAUUUAGGGAUUCAGUGAGAGUCUACAGAGGGCACCUGGUGUUGGGUUUGGCGCAUGGCGGCGCCUAGUAAGUGGCAGCUCUUCCGUCUGGGCCCCUCCCUCUCCCCGGGCCUGUAUCUUGUGGCUCCUGCAGGGCCCUUCACUUGAGCCAUUUGCUGUCUGCCUUACCUAGAGGUCAAAGGUGUAAGUUUUUCUCAUUCCAAGUAAGUGCAGUUCCUCAAAUGUUUCUUGAACACCAGCAACAGGGUCCACAUUGAGUGCGGAGGAUACAGGAGCCACUCUGCUGCCGCUUUGCCUCUCGGACACUCAGGGCCAAAUGAGAGCGAGGAGCAGUAAGUCAAGCCCAGAGCAGCCACUUCACAGGGAACCCAGGUCCUACUCCCAUCCCAGGAAGCCGGGGGCCUGGGUCCAGAGCAAAAGCAUGGAGCCCAAGGCACACGGACAGUGUCUGCAGGGAAGCCUGGAUCAAGAACUCAGCAGACUGUCAGCUCUGGGCCAAAUUGCAAGAAGCUCCCAAGGGCCCGAGCCUUGCAUAAUCUCCUGGGAGCCACCUUUCUAGUACAUGACAACGACCUCCCCACUGGUAGGUAACCUGAUGAAGACAAUCAGAUUUGUUCUCCUUGGAGCUUGGAAUUGUGACUAAUGCAUUGGUCUCAGAUCGGGCUGUUUAGCUUGAGCAGAUACAUAAACUCAGAGGCUCUGAAGCAGCCAGGUUUGUCCUCAUGUAGGACAAAGCAGUGAGUCUGUCUGUAUUGAGGGAGAAUGAGAAGAACAGAGAAAUGAGAAAGGGGGCAAUCGAGCCCGUGUCCCUGGAUCUCUCUGAGAUGCCUUUCCAAUAAAGGUCCAUUGUGGCUGAAGCUCAUUUGAGGUAGGUUUCACUUACCUGCAACCCAAGACAAUGACAUCAGUGCCUUGAGCCACAGUCCCUCAGCAUUGCUGGUUGUCAUUCUGCCAGUCUUGUCCCUGCAGCCCUGGGCAGAACAGGAAGCUGUGGGAGGAAAUGCCUCCUGCUCCUAGGGCCUUUGGAGGCAGGUACCCCCUUCCAGGCUGCUCUAGUGCCCGCUGCCUCAACGGGGCCUUCCUAGCCUGGCAAAGGGGACAAGAGGUUAAAGCCCUCACUGUUUCCAUCUCCCCUUGUCACCAAUGAAAAGAAAAACAAGAAAAACAUCUCUUCCAAAAUAACAAGUCAGCAGAACCAGUGGAGGAGCAAGUCAUCAAUUUUUUCUAGGAAACUGGCAAACACUUUUCGAGGGUGUUAAAGAUAAUCAGACACAAAAAUAAAAUUUAAUUGGCACUAGUUUCUCCCUCAGAAAACUGAACACAAAGAUGAAAAUAUAAAAUAUGUAGGCUUUGAAGAGAGAGGUUUCUGGAAAAUCGAUAAAAGAAGUCAGUGCCAUCUGAUUGCUUUUUUUUUUUUUUUGAGACAGAGUCUUGCUCUGUCACCCAGGCUGCAGUGCAGUGGUACAAUCUUUGUUCACUGCAGCCUCUGCCUCCCAGAUUCAAGCCAUUCUCCUGCCUCAGCCUCCCAAGCAACUGGGACUACAGGCAUGUGCCACCGCACCUGGCUAAUUUUUGCAUUUUUAGUAGAGAUGGGGCUUCAGCACGUUGGCUAGGCUGGUCUCGAACUUGUGGCCUCAAGUGAUCCACCCACCUUGGCCUCCUGAAGUGCUAGGAUUACAGGCGUAAGCCACUGCGCCCAGCCUGAUUGCUAUUUUUUAAAGUGGAGAGAUACUCUUAGCACAUUUUUAUUCGUAUCUGAUAUCAAAAGAAAUAACAUCACGCACUUGUAACUCUGAAAACCCAUGGUCAGGGCAGUCCUGCCCUUGGACUGAGGAGAUGGAACCCCUUGGGACAGGCUCAUCACGAAUUCUCCUUAUGGGAAAGGAAAUCAGAAUUCCUCAGCAGAGUCCUGACAGAGAGAAGAACCAAAGGGAACCACGACUUGUGAAAACAUGGUGUGACUGAAUGCAAAGCUCACUUAAAAACAUGAAAAAAUAUGUAUUAUAAUUCAAGGGAUUUUUUUUAGAAAUUAAUAUUCU
rnacentral:lncRNA from 1 species